rnacentral:piRNA from 1 species
UAGAAGACUUGUGAGGUCCAGGGGCUCGA